GAUGAACGCUGGCGGCGUGCCUAAUACAUGCAAGUCGAGCGAACAGACGAGGAGCUUGCUCCUCUGACGUUAGCGGCGGACGGGUGAGUAACACGUGGAUAACCUACCUAUAAGACUGGGAUAACUUCGGGAAACCGGAGCUAAUACCGGAUAAUAUAUUGAACCGCAUGGUUCAAUAGUGAAAGACGGUUUUGCUGUCACUUAUAGAUGGAUCCGCGCCGCAUUAGCUAGUUGGUAAGGUAACGGCUUACCAAGGCAACGAUGCGUAGCCGACCUGAGAGGGUGAUCGGCCACACUGGAACUGAGACACGGUCCAGACUCCUACGGGAGGCAGCAGUAGGGAAUCUUCCGCAAUGGACGAAAGCUUGACGGAGCAACGCCGCGUGAGUGAUGAAGGUCUUCGGAUCGUAAUACUCUGUUAUUAGGGAAGAACAAAUGUGUAAGUAACUAUGCACGUCUUGACGGUACCUAAUCAGAAAGCCACGGCUAACUACGUG
rnacentral:rRNA from 1 species